rnacentral:pre_miRNA from 9 species
UCUCGAUCGAGUAAAAGUUAACUCAAAUUUGUAUGGAGUUGGACAGGGUUCCUACGUUUGCCGCUAGGGGCGCUGUUCCAACUCCAUACAAAUUUGAGUUAACUUUUACGCUAUCGA